rnacentral:tRNA from 1 species
GCACCCGUAGCUCAGUUGGAUAGAGUACCUGGCUACGAACCAGGUGGUCGGGAGUUCGAAUCUCUCCGGGCGCGCCA